rnacentral:rRNA from 1 species
UCAAGCGAACAAGUGCAUGUGGUGGAUGCCUUGGCGAUCACAGGCGAUGAAGGACGCGGUAGCCUGCGAAAAGCUUCGGGGAGCUGGCAAACAAGCUUUGAUCCGGAGAUGUCCGAAUGGGGAAACCCGGCCCGUAUGGGUCAUCCCACACUGAAUUCAUAGGUGUGGGAAGCGAACGCGGCGAACUGAAACAUCUAAGUAGCUGCAGGAACAGAAAUCAACCGAGAUUCCCAAAGUAGUGGCGAACGAAAUGGGAAGAGCCUUGUACUCUUUAGCAGUGGUGUUAGCAGAACGGGAUGGAAAGCCCGGCCAUAGCAGGUGAUAGCCCUGUAUGCGAAAACACGAUUGUGGAACUAGGUGUACGACAAGUAGGGCGGGACACGUGAAAUCCUGUCUGAAGAUGGGGGGACCAUCCUCCAAGGCUAAAUACUCGUGAUCGACCGAUAGUGAACCAGUACCGUGAGGGAAAGGCGAAAAGAACCCCGGGAGGGGAGUGAAAUAGAUCCUGAAACCGCAUGCAUACAAACAGUCGGAGCCCUUUCGGGGGUGACGGCGUACCUUUUGUAUAAUGGGUCAGCGACUUACAUUCAGUGGCAAGCUUAACCGAUUAGGGAAGGCGUAGCGAAAGCGAGUCCGAACAGGGCGUUGAGUCGCUGGGUGUAGACCCGAAACCAGAUGAUCUAUCCAUGGCCAGGUUGAAGGUGCGGUAACACGUACUGGAGGACCGAACCCACUAACGUUGAAAAGUUAGGGGAUGAGCUGUGGAUAGGGGUGAAAGGCUAAACAAAUCUGGAAAUAGCUGGUUCUCUCCGAAAACUAUUUAGGUAGUGCCUCGUGUCUCACCUUCGGGGGUAGAGCACUGUCAUGGUUGGGGGGUCUAUUGCUGAUUACCCCGCCAUAGCAAACUCCGAAUACCGAAGAGUGCAAUCACGGGAGACAGACAUCGGGUGCUAACGUCCGGUGUCAAGAGGGAAACAACCCAGACCGCCAGCUAAGGUCCCCAAAUAUAGCUAAGUGGGAAACGAAGUGGGAAGGCUAAAACAGUCAGGAGGUUGGCUUAGAAGCAGCCACCCUUUAAAGAAAGCGUAAUAGCUCACUGAUCGAGUCGUCCUGCGCGGAAGAUGUAACGGGGCUAAGCUAUAUACCGAAGCUGCGGACGCACGCAAGUGCGUGGUAGGAGAGCGUUCUGUAAGCCUGUGAAGGUGUCUUGUAAAGGAUGCUGGAGGUAUCAGAAGUGCGAAUGCUGACAUGAGUAGCGAUAAAGGGGGUGAAAGGCCCCCUCGCCGUAAGCCCAAGGUUUCCUACGCAACGUUCAUCGGCGUAGGGUGAGUCGGCCCCUAAGGCGAGGCAGAGAUGCGUAGCUGAUGGGAAGCAGGUUAAUAUUCCUGCACCGUCGUAUGAUGCGAUGGGGGGACGGAUCGCGGAAGGUUGUCCGGGUGUUGGAAGUCCCGGUCCCUGCAUUGGAGAAGGCGCUCAGGCAAAUCCGGGCGCGGGAUUCAAGGAUGUGGGGCGAGCGGCCUAGUGCUGCGAAGCAAUUGGAAGUGGUUCCAAGAAAAGCCUCUAAGCUUCAGUCAUACGAGACCGUACCGCAAACCGACACAGGUGGGCGAGAUGAGUAUUCUAAGGCGCUUGAGAGAACUCGGGAGAAGGAACUCGGCAAAUUGGUACCGUAACUUCGGGAUAAGGUACGCCCUGGUAGCUUGACUGGCCUGCGCCAGAAGGGUGAAGGGGUUGCAAUAAAAUGGUGGCUGCGACUGUUUAAUAAAAACACAGCACUCUGCAAACACGAAAGUGGACGUAUAGGGUGUGACGCCUGCCCGGUGCCGGAAGAUUAAAUGAUGGGGUGCAAGCUCUUGAUUGAAGUCCCGGUAAACGGCGGCCGUAACUAUAACGGUCCUAAGGUAGCGAAAUUCCUUGUCGGGUAAGUUCCGACCUGCACGAAUGGCGUAACGAUGGCCACACUGUCUCCUCCCGAGACUCAGCGAAGUUGAAGUGUUUGUGAUGAUGCAAUCUCCCCGCGGCUAGACGGAAAGACCCCAUGAACCUUUACUGUAGCUUUGCAUUGGACUUUGAACCGAUCUGUGUAGGAUAGGUGGGAGGCUUUGAAGCGUGGACGCUAGUUCACGUGGAGCCGUCCUUGAAAUACCACCCUGGUUUGUUUGAGGUUCUAACCUUGGCCCGUGAAUCCGGGUCGGGGACAGUGCAUGGUAGGCAGUUUGACUGGGGCGGUCUCCUCCCAAAGUGUAACGGAGGAGUUCGAAGGUACGCUUGGUACGGUCGGACAUCGUACCUAAAGUGCAAUGGCAAAAGCGUGCUUAACUGCGAGACCGACAAGUCGAGCAGGUGCGAAAGCAGGACAUAGUGAUCCGGUGGUUCUGAAUGGAAGGGCCAUCGCUCAACGGAUAAAAGGUACUCUGGGGAUAACAGGCUGAUACCGCCCAAGAGUUCAUAUCGACGGCGGUGUUUGGCACCUCGAUGUCGGCUCAUCUCAUCCUGGGGCUGUAGCCGGUCCCAAGGGUAUGGCUGUUCGCCAUUUAAAGAGGUACGUGAGCUGGGUUUAAAACGUCGUGAGACAGUUUGGUCCCUAUCUGCCGUGGGCGUUGGAAUCUUGACGGGGGCUGCUCCUAGUACGAGAGGACCGGAGUGGACGUACCGCUGGUGUACCUGUUGUCUCGCCAGAGGCAUCGCAGGGUAGCUAUGUACGGAAGAGAUAACCGCUGAAAGCAUCUAAGCGGGAAACUCGCCUGAAGAUGAGGAUUCCCUGGAGGCUUGACCUCCUUGAAGGGUCGUUCGAGACCAGGACGUUGAUAGGCUGGGUGUGGAAGCGCAGUAAUGCGUUAAGCUAACCAGUACUAAUUGCCCGUAAGGCUUGAUCCU